AACAUGUGCGACGGCGGGCAUGCGCUUGUGUGUUCCCGAGGUCAGGAGCCGAGGAGGACAGUGGCUGCACAUCUACGGUUCUGGCUGGCAAAGCAUGGCUGCACCGUUAUCGAGCACACAGAUGGGCAUGCGUCCACUGCCGGCGCCAGGCGGUGGCCGACACUAGCUUGGCGUGGCAGUUCAUCUGUUGCCCAUGCGUGUCAGGUUUGUUGCUCGCUCGUAUUAAUUAUUUCAUUCCAUCAUGUAAAUACGGCCAACCUGUAUAAUCAAAAUGCCCGCUUUGCUCAUUACAUAAUUUUUCUUAGGGAAUAACGCACUAAACGAAACAUGCUUUAUGCAAAAAAGAGAGCAAAUGAGGGCCAGAUAGAUAAACCUUUUUUUCAAAAAAAGAGAGCAAAUGAGGGCCAAAUGGCCAAAUCAGGUGGGAUGGGUGUUUGCGUCGAACGUGAGGGUCUGGCCGUUUGCGUGGAACAGGUGAGAGAGGGGGAGUGCAUCCACAAGUGCAGGCUCAACAAGCACCAUGUACCAGCACAACUAUCGUCAUUAUGAGCACCUCAAUGUUAUCAACAUCCAGAGUCCUUCAAACAGGCAUGUGCAUAUUCUUGGAAAUUUGGAGUUGGAGAUGGAGGAAAGGGAAAGAGAAGAGACGAAAGAGGACUUAUUUUAUUGGAUUCACGUCCCUUUGGUUCCUUCUUGCUGCAAGGGUAGAUCUCGGUUGAUUGCCACACCCAGUAGUAGUUGCUUGAUUUGGUGAAGUACAUUAAGAUUUACAGUAUCUUGGUGAGGGCCAGCUGGAACAUGCUGGCGAAUAACGCAUUUUAGGUUGCUGGGACAUGUCUUUGGCCUCCCCUUACUUAACUCUGCAUCUGGUUUGUAACAUGAGAUAUUCUCUCCUUCUUUUAGGG